rnacentral:SRP_RNA from 2 species
GCCAGGCAUGGUGAUGCGUGCCUGUAGUCCCAGCUACUCAGGAGGCUGAGAUAGGAGGAUGGCUUGAACCCAGGAGGCGGAGGUUGUAGUGGACUGAGAUCAUGCCACUGCACUCCAGCCUGGGCAACAGAGCCAGACCCUGUCUCAA